UUGUAUGAUUUUCAUUUAAAUGAUAACAUGUUGAACCUUUAGAGUCCUUAUAUCUAGCUUAUGUUUCUGACCAAGGAACCAUAAUACUGUUGGUGGACUUGGUGAGGAGGCAUUGUUUCAUGUAUACCGGAAUGAAUAUAAUUGGCCUGUGCUGAGAGUCCAGAAACUGUUACCGAUCACUUGGAACUUCCAUAUUAUAACAAGGUCUGGCGCAUAAGAAGGGAUAAACCCUCUGGGUUUUUUUGCAUCUCAUGCGGAUUUGAAGGUUCCAGGAAUAUGUGAGAACUAGGCCAAGAACUGAAGAGAUCGUAAGAGCUCAAAUCAAGGGUUUGCAGAGGCGCCAAAUUGUAAAUUGAGAUGUUAUCUUUUUUCCUUCUUUUUUUUUGUAACAAAUGAGAUGUUAUCUUUUCUUUUGUUUUAGUAUAUCAUUUUGGUAUAUGAUUUUUAAAUCCAUGUACAGAAAUUCAACUUAAUUUG